UUCAUUUUUCCUACUCGUCGCGUAACGUAAACGUAUAACGACAGAAGUACUAUCAGCAUCGCUAUUAAUGGCCUUAAGCCUUGGCCAGGAUCGAGUCAGUUGUCUUCGAAAGAAAAAAAGGUAUCGCCGUGAACGCUGGUGCAUAUUAUGCAGGGAUCGCAGCCGGUACGGGCAGAAAAUGAGUUGAAAAGUGUCGGUAUUGUGCUUGUGGUGGUAGGAGUGAUUGUGGGUGCCGCCAUCUUUGCUGGGACAAAAUUUAAGCCGGAGGUCAAGGCCGACACACCUUCCACAAAUACCGCUAUGCAGAACUCGUCCACAGCACGACUGGCAUUGCAACAAGCGCAACAAGAACAACAGCUACCGCAUCCGACUGAACUACAGUAGUGUUUUUUGUAGCAGUGGUUGCCAUUGCAAACUGUGGUAGUCGCUGCAAAGCGGUUACAACAUCUUCAAUAGAAAAACUAACCACCACUGUAACAACUACCUCCACAACUACGAGAGCGACCACAACACUGGGACAUGAGCUGUGGUAUAGCGCCCUCAUGCUUCAAACUUGUCGACGAAUUCCCUCGAGAAUAGAUGUGCCGCUUCCUCUAUUGACUAAACGUCGCGGCGAGAUGAACAACCCUCUUUAUUCAGUCGCAUCUGCGUUGAGCCACUCAACGUUGAGAGCUUUUUCAUACUUGGCGACUUUGUCGAACAUUUUUGUGUGUUUUGCGUGUGCCCGUCAUAAAUACAGUGGAUAGCUUUCACAUUGUAAGCCCUCUACUUCACUGAAAACUUACAAGAUUGAUUUUCUAUUGACACGUGUGUGUACCGCAGUGAACUGGCGGCGAAUGAGGUGUGACCGGAAAGUCCAACGUGGUAGACUGAUGAGGACCACAUUUCACGUUUGAACAAUCAAUUAAUCGAUUCAGCUGUUCAGAGCAUUUUUCAUCAUAUACGCCAAAAGAAAACAUGUUCGUGUUCAUAUUGUUGGCGUGGAAACGUAGCGAUAUAAAGUAUACCUCAACGAC